rnacentral:rRNA from 1 species
AUACGGAGGAUCCGAGCGUUAUCCGGAUUUAUUGGGUUUAAAGGGUGCGCAGGCGGCCAUUUAAGUCAGCGGUUAAAUCGUGGGGCUCAACCCCAUUCUGCCGUUGAUACUGGGUGGCUUGUUUGCGGUCGAGGUUGGCGGAAUUCGUUGUGUAGCGGUGAAAUGCAUAGAUAUGACGAAGAACACCGAUUGCGUAGGCAGCUGACCAGACCGCAAAUGACGCUCAUGCACGAAAGUGCGGGGAUCGAACAGGAUUAGAUACCCUGGUAGUCCGCACAGUAAACGAUGAAUACUUGUUUUCGGCGAUAUAAUGUCGGAGGCAAAGCGAAAGCGAUAAGUAUUCCACCUGGGGAGUACGCCGGCAACGGUGAAACUCAAAUGAAUUGACGGGG